AAAAAGUUUCCUAGUAUUCCAAAUAUUUAUGACUGGUACAUUUCUGUAAGAGUUAAUUUAGGAUAAAAACACUUGAACAUAGUCCAGUGCGCCCCCUGUGCCAACACAGCCACCAUUUCCCAAAAAGUCGGAUUUCAUCCCCAUGUUUAUGAAAUGUUAUAAAAUUCAUAUUUAUCAAAGCACAAGCAGCAGAAUUUGAGGAAAUAUAGUUAAUAAAACAGUAUUGAGAAUUUCACUUCCAUUCAAAAAUUACAGGGUAGUAAUCACUUUUCUGUAGAAUUUUAAAUAUAAUAUACCAAAAUUUAAUUGCAACUUUUGGGUAUUGCGCUGCCUUCCUACACCAGACAAUGAAAUGUAUCUUUUAAAUUGGAAUAAUUUGUGUAGUAACUCCAUUUUUGUCCGUAAAUUUAUUAGAUAUAGACUAAGUGUUGGAUUAAUCUUAAUACGAAGUUUCAUGAAUGUAUAACAUUGGGUUCGUACAAAAGAAGGCUUGUCAACGGAAUUUUGGGACAACCCUUGUAGUGUGACGUCACGUUAACGCAUGUUUCUCCAUGUAUAUUUCUACUCAUGAGUAUACAUGAAACUGACAUUAAGAUGAAUUUCAUAGUUGGCUUAGUAGAAAAACCGAGAGAAUGUAAAUAUUACCUACAUGUAGUAUGUGAAUAUUGAAUGUUAAACUUUAUAACAGGUCAUGUUGAUAUAGGAAUCAUUUUGCUUUAAUCAAUGAGAUUCUGUCAUUCACUGGUUUGCUCUAUAUAUUUUCUUUAAAAUCUAUAAAUCAUAUUAAUUUGGGAAAAAUUACAUAAAGAUUGUGGUUGGUUCUUUCUUCUAGUUUACAUUUUAAAAAAUAAUGAACAUGCUGAAAAAAAAUCAUUUUCUAAGGUGGUUUAGACAUUGCUUAAAAAACAAAGAAAGGGUUUUAAAACCCCUGUGUAAAUACUUUGUAGACUUUUAACCUUUUUCUCUUUUCCAAAAUUGACAAGUCCCUAUAUAGAACUCAUAUUUUUAUUACAUUAUGUUGUUUUUUGUGCAGUUAAUAGUAAGUUUUAUAUUUCUUAGUUACCUAGUAGAUGACUAAGCUUUCCUAUUGCUAUUCUGGUUUUGUUUGCAGUGCUCCAAGUUGUGACUAAAAUGGUCGCAUUUGCGCCCAAAAAUUUGAUUUUGCGACUAGAAAUAAAAACAAACUCGCAUUUUCGCGACUGAGAAAAUUUGGGCUGGUAACUUCCAUUAUUAAGAUCGGGUUCGAGAUUUAUAUUGAUCAAGAUUCUAUAUCAAGAAAAUAUUUGAAUACAUAUAUUUUAAUACACUUUUCUAAGCGUCGCAUUGAUGUGGAUCACGUAAUGUUAUGACAGCAUGCUGUAACGGUGACUUACACAAUGUUUGAUUGAACCAGAUACAUGUAUACAUAAUGUCCCUGAUAGAAUGGCAUCGAAACUUCAUAAACUUUCUAGGACCCGACCUUGUUAUUGAAGCAUUUGGUUUUGAUUUCAAUGAACGGUGUUGCCGUGGUUACUAUAAAUAGAAAUUUUUGUGAAAUACUUUUAAAAUGCUACUCCUCCUACAGUUUGGUCUGAUUUCAAUAUAACUUGGCAUACAAGUAGACUAACUAAGAUACAUUAUUCUUUAUAUCGGUUUUUGAUUUUGAUGACCGGUGUUGCCGUGGUUACUAAAAAUAGAAAAUUCUGUGAAAUACUUGUAAAAUGCUACUCCUCCAAUAGAUUUGGUCUGAUUUCGAUAUAACUUGGCACACAAGUAGACUACACUAAGAUACAUAAUUCUGUUUAUCGGUUUUUGAUUUUGAUGAAUGGUGUUGCCUUGGUCACUAAAAAUAGAAAUUUUUGUGAAAUACUUUUAAAAUGCUACUCCUCCUACACUUUUGGUCUGAUUUCAAUAUGACUUGGCAUACAAGUAGACUACACUAAGAUACAUAAUUCUGUAUAUUGGUUUUUAUACGCCCGUCUUAAGAUGGGACGUAUUAUGUUAUAGGCUUCGUGUCCAUCCGUCUGUCCAUUCCUGUCCGGCUCAUAACUUGAAUACUAUUAGGCCUAAAAUUAUCAAACUUUGUCAACUCAUACUUCUUGGGUAGACGGUGUGUCGCGCACAAAAAAUAGGUCGCUCUGACCUUUAAUAAAGAUGCUAUAGCCAAAUAUGGAAAAAUCCUGUCCGGCUCAUAACUAGAAAACUAUUAGACCUAGAGUUUUCAAACUUAGCAAAAGUAUACAUCUUAAGUAGAAGGUGUGUCGCGGCCUAUUUUAAGGUCACUGUGACCUUUAAUUAUAGUGAAUUUUUUUAAAAAACUAAGUCUUUUAAAUUCUGAAUUUCAUAAUCCUAAAAAAUGUAAAAAUAUAGUUGUAUGCUUAUUAAAAAACGUUAAAUUAAGUAAAAACUUGUUUUUUCAUUACCGGUAUAUACUUUACAGCAAUCUGUAACAAAUGUUUAUGCUUUGAGAGGAAUUCAGUUUGUCCCAUGGGCUUAAUUAUCAAGCACUGGUCAAGAAGAAUUUUGAUAGCAGAAAUUUGCAUGUCAAAUUAGAGAGAAAUUAAUGAGUUUAUUGUCAGGAGCUAAGAGCCCUCUAGAUCUGAUGCAGAUUUUAUCUUAAUUUAUCUCUUGGGAGUUGGGCAAAAAGAAAUGGCCUCAUAGUUGCUUGUGCUAAUUAAGAGUUCUUGAUGGCUAGUCCAGAUAAAGAUCUUUCAAAAGGUGUAAUGAAAUUAAAACAAAUUGAUGUUUUAGUGUAUGAUUAAAACUAAAUUAGUAUUGUAUAAUGUGAUUAAAACUAAUUAUAUAUGUGUUCAUUUUAAAAAAAAAAAUUAUAUUUCAAUUUUUAUAUAUUUGCAACAAAGAUUCUAUAGCAAAAUAUGGAAAAAUCCUGUCCGGCUCAUAACUAGAAAACUAUUAGACCUAGAGCUUUCAAACUUAGCAAAAGAUUACAUAUACAUCUAAAGUAGAAGGUGUGUCGCGGCCUAUUUCAAGGUCCCUGUGACCUUUAAUUAAAAUGAAUUUUUUUUAAAAACUAAGUCUUUUAAAUUCUAAAUUUCAUAAUCCUAAAAAAUGUAAAAAAAAAAUAUAGUUGUAUGCUUAUAUUAAAAAACGUUAAAUUAAGUAAAAACUUGUUUUUUCAUUAUAUACUUUACAGCAAUCUGUAACAAAUGUUUAUGCUUUGAGAGGAAUUCAGUUUGUCCCAUGGGCUUAAUUAUCAAGCACUGGUCAAGAAGAAUUUUGAUAGCAGAAAUUUGCAUGUCAAAUUAGAGAGAAAUUAAUGAGUUUAUUGUCAGGAGCUAAGAGCACCUCUAGAUCUGAUGCAGAUUUUAUCUUAAUUUAUCUCUUGGGAGUUGGGCAAAAAGAAAUGGCCUCAUAGUUGCUUGUGCUAAUUAAAGAGUUCUUGAUGGCUAGUCCAGAUAAAGAUCUUUCAAUAGGUGUAAUGAAAUUAAAACAAAUUGAUGUUUUAGUGUAUGAUUAAAACUAAAUUAGUAUUGUACAAUAUAAUUAAAACUAAUUAUACAUGUGUUAAUUGAAAAAAAACAUAUUUCAAUUUUUAUAUAUUUGCUACAAAUUGCAGUCAUGUCUCACUAGUAUUAUUUAUUAUAAUCAAUCCCUACACUGUAAGUCUCUUAGAGAUGUAUAAUAAGAAAUGGAAAAUAGAUAAUUGAAAUCUGUGUCAAUCUGUUAAUCAAGGCUACCUGAUUUUCUUGCAUCCUUACCAAUUUAUGAUUAUUGAACAAUAUUUGACGGGCGUAUCAUGAUGUGGCGGGGCACUUUAUU